rnacentral:rRNA from 1 species
UACGAAGGGGGCUAGCGUUGUUCGGAAUUACUGGGCGUAAAGCGUAUGCAGGCGGACUUUUAAGUCGGGGGUGAAAUCCCGAGGCUCAACCUCGGAACUGCCUUCGAUACUGGAAGUCUUGAGUCCGGGAGAGGUGAGUGGAACCCCGAGUGUAGAGGUGAAAUUCGUAGAUAUUCGGAAGAACACCAGUGGCGAAGGCGGCUCACUGGCCCGGUACUGACGCUGAGAUACGAAAGCGUGGGGAGCAAACAGG